rnacentral:rRNA from 1 species
GAACACGUGUGCAACCUGCCUUUAUCAGGGGGAUAGCCUUUCGAAAGGAAGAUUAAUACCCCAUAAUAUAUUGAGUGGCAUCACUUAAUAUUGAAAACUCCGGUGGAUAGAGAUGGGCACGCGCAAGAUUAGAUAGUUGGUGAGGUAACGGCUCACCAAGUCUGCGAUCUUUAGGGGGCCUGAGAGGGUGAUCCCCCACACUGGUACUGAGACACGGACCAGACUCCUACGGGAGGCAGCAGUGAGGAAUAUUGGACAAUGGGUGCGAGCCUGAUCCAGCCAUCCCGCGUGAAGGACGACGGCCCUAUGGGUUGUAAACUUCUUUUGUAUAGGGAUAAACCUACUCUCGUGAGAGUAGCUGAAGGUACUAUACGAAUAAGCACCGGCUAACUCCGUGCCAGCAGCCGCGGUAAUACGGAGGGUGCAAGCGUUAUCCCGGGAUUUAUUGGGUUUAAAGGGUCCGUAGGCGGAUCUGUAAGUCAGUGGUGAAAUCUCACAGCUUAACUGUGAAACUGCCAUUGAUACUGCAGGUCUUGAGUGUUGUUGAAGUAGCUGGAAUAAGUAGUGUAGCGGUGAAAUGCAUAGAUAUUACUUAGAACACCAAUUGCGAAGGCAGGUUACUAAGCAACAACUGACGCUGAUGGACGAAAGCGUGGGGAGCGAACAGGAUUAGAUACCCUGGUAGUCCACGCCGUAAACGAUGCUAACUCGUUUUUGGGUUUUCGGAUUCAGAGACUAAGCGAAAGUGAUAAGUUAGCCACCCUGGGGAGUACGAACGCAAGUUUGAAACUCAAAGGAAUUGACGGGGGCCCGCACAAGCGGUGGAUUAUGUGGUUUAAUUCGAUGAUACGCGAGGAACCUUACCAAGGCUUAAAUGGGAAAUGACAGGCUUAGAAAUAGGCUUUUCUUCGGACAUUUUUCAAGGUGCUGCAUGGUUGUCGUCAGCUCGUGCCGUGAGGUGUUAGGUUAAGUCCUGCAACGAGCGCAACCCCUGUCACUAGUUGCCAUCAUUAAGUUGGGGACUCUAGUGAGACUGCCUACGCAAGUAGAGAGGAAGGUGGGGAUGACGUCAAAUCAUCACGGCCCUUACGCCUUGGGCCACACACGUAAUACAAUGGCCGGUACAGAGGGCAGCUACACUGCGAAGUGAUGCAAAUCUCGAAAGCCGGUCUCAGUUCGGAUUGGAGUCUGCAACUCGACUCUAUGAAGCUGGAAUCGCU